rnacentral:lncRNA from 1 species
GGGCGGACCAUCAACCCGGUGAAUGGCGCCGUGGGCCUGCUGUGGACCGGCAACUGGCACCUCUGCCAGGCGGCGGUGGAGACCGUCCUCCGCGGCGGCGCGCUCCGCCCGCUCCCGAAUCUCGCCGCCGAGGCCCAUGGCGGCGGCGCGAUGCCGGAGGCUGACGGCCUCUGCCCACCCCCGAGGAUGGGGUUCUCCUCCUUCUCUUCGGCCAAGCGGCGGAGGGCACCGGCUCCAUCCAAGGCGGACUACGCGGCGGCGUGCGACCUGGACCUGUGCCUGACCCCGCGGUCUCCAAGAAGCGAGAGAGAGGAUAAGCGGCGGCGG